rnacentral:tRNA from 1 species
GCCCCAGUAGCUCAGCGGAUAGAGCAACCGCCUUCUAAGCGGUAGGUCGCAGGUUCGAUUCCUGCCUGGGGUACCA